rnacentral:sRNA from 1 species
CCAAGAGUGCUGGAGACUGAAGUCCUUUCUUUAUUCGCAGAACAAGUACAGUUAGACUGCCCUCAUGCUGCCCAUUCUCCCACUGCCCUGCUGAUGUUUCUCAUCCUUGACUAGAAGGAACCACCUUAAGGGGUGUGAGAAUUAGUCCCCUUCAGUGCUUGAGUGGACACCAGU